CCAUAUCCCAUGCGAGGGGAUGCGCAGCGAUGCCGGGAUGCGCGGUCCCGCACGGCUGCUCCGUGGUGCUGAAUGGCUGAAGGCUCUCACAUGGUUGACCCUUGCACGGGAUCCCCUCAAGCUCUCCAUGGAUGGCAUAUCCCAUGGAUCCCAUGCUGGUGAGUGUGUCCUUGGGGUGUCUGGCAGGGGAGGCAUCUUCAGUGCUCCCCAUUCCCUGCCUGUAACGGGCAGCAUGGUUGCCCUGUGCCUCAGUUUCCCCAUAGUCCUAUUCCCUGUAGGGGAUGUCCCCUACAAUCACUGUGUUCCUGUGCCAGGCUCCUGCUCAGCCACUCCGGACAGUCAUCAGCCAUCAAAGGCCGAGGGACCCCCAUCUAUGGUCCUCAAGGACACCACAGGGCCCCAUUCUGAUCCCACAUCUGCAGCAUCAACUCAGUUAUCCUGAUGCGUGUCAAUGUUUUCUGCUAUGCCUACUUUGCCUAACGCCUUCCAGCCCCUGGAGGGAGGAAGGCUGCUGGGAAUGGUGGGGAUAUGGGGAUUUGGGGGAUAGCUUUUACUUGUUACCUUUGGGAUGUGGGAUGUUCAAAUCCAUCAGUGUGAUGAGCUGGGCGUUCUCAGCGCUGCAGAUACUAGAGCAUCCCAGGGGGCUGUGAGGUGUUGGGGGGUAUUUGUGGGGUCAGGAAAGGCUUUGGGGGGAGGUAUUGGGGUGGGUGAAUGGGGCUGAAGGGAGAGCAAACCACGGUGGGGCAGCAGGCACAUGGAUAUGGCUGUGAUGGUGGAAUAGGAGCAGCCAUGCUGGAGGCUGUCACCGAACACGUUUUACCAGCUCUGAGUAAAACCAACAUCACAAAAGGUACAAUUUGCAGCUAUUUACAGCAGGACUGAACCCCCUGGAUCAGCCUUUCCCAGCAUCCCUCCAUGCAGGAACCAAGCCUGGCCGCAUCCCGGCUGCCUGCAGCCCUGCUUGGAACCUGGGCUUUGCUUGCCCUGGAGAGGAGCGAAGGUCUGGGAUACACAUUCUCAUCCCCUCCAUAGCUGCCACCCCAUCAGGCUCUGGAGAAGGUUUUAUGGCCGUGGUCUGAUGCUCUGUGCUGCUCCCAAUGCAAGGCAAUGCCUGGUCUGGGAAUGUUGGAGGUCUCCUGGGCACGGAGCAGGGAGAGCUGACAUUCCAGGCUGCUGGAAAUGGGCACCAUUGGAUGGGGAUCCCCAUGAUCCUGACCAUAACCUCCAGCACAGCCCCCAUGGCACCGAGUCCUUGUGUGCUGCCAGCCUUGCGGAGGGACCAGCACCAUCCAUGGGGACAAGGGGAUGUGCAGUCCGGUGAGUGGGGGGCAGCGGGGCCGUGGUCCCCCCCUGCUUGCCCAUAGCAGCUCACUUGCAGAUGGGGUGCACAUAGCUGCGAGGGAAGAGCCCGAUGCGCCCAUAGAUCUUCCCCUGCCACCAGU
rnacentral:lncRNA from 14 species